GACGAACGCUGGCGGCGUGCUUAACACAUGCAAGUCGAACGGUGAAGGGACUGGUUUUGCUGGUCCUGGAUGAGUGGCGAACGGGUGAGCAACACGUGAGUAACCUGCCCCCUUCUUCUGGAUAACCGCAUGAAAGUGUGGCUAAUACGGGAUAUUCUGGGUCUGUCGCAUGGUGGGCCUGGGAAAGAUUGCGCCUUUUUUGGUGUUUUUGGUGGGGGAUGGGCUCGCGGCCUAUCAGCUUGUUGGUGGGGUGAUGGCCUACCAAGGCGGUGACGGGUAGCCGGCCUGAGAGGGUGGACGGUCACACUGGGACUGAGACACGGCCCAGACUCCUACGGGAGGCAGCAGUGGGGAAUAUUGCACAAUGGGCGCAAGCCUGAUGCAGCGACGCCGCGUGAGGGAUGGAGGCCUUCGGGUUGUGAACCUCUUUCGCCAGUGAAGCAGGCCUGCCUCGUUUGUGGGUGGGU
rnacentral:rRNA from 1 species